rnacentral:rRNA from 1 species
GACGAACGCUGGCGGCGUGCUUAACACAUGCAAGUCGAACGGAGAGGCCCUGCUUUUGUGGGGUGCUCGAGUGGCGAACGGGUGAGUAACACGUGAGUAACCUGCCCUUGACUUUGGGAUAACUUCAGGAAACUGGGGCUAAUACCGGAUAGGAUCUCCUGCUGCAUGGUGGGGGUUGGAAAGUUUCGGCGGUUGGGGUUGGACUCGCGGCUUAUCAGCUUGUUGGUGGGGUAGUGGCUUACCAAGGCUUUGACGGGUAGCCGGCCUGAGAGGGUGACCGGCCACAUUGGGACUGAGAUACGGCCCAGACUCCUACGGGAGGCAGCAGUGGGGAAUAUUGCACAAUGGGCGGAAGCCUGAUGCAGCAACGCCGCGUGCGGGAUGACGGCCUUCGGGUUGUAAACCGCUUUCGCCUGUGACGAAGCGUGAGUGACGGUAAUGGGUAAAGAAGCACCGGCUAACUACGUG